UUUAUGGAGAGUUUGAUCCUGGCUCAGGAUGAACGCUGGCGGCGUGCCUAAUACAUGCAAGUCGAGCGAACAGACGAGGAGCUUGCUCCU
rnacentral:rRNA from 1 species